rnacentral:tRNA from 1 species
GCAGUCGUAGCCGUGUGGUUAAGGCGAUGGAUUAGAAAUCCAUGGGGGUCUCCUCGCACAGGUUCGAAUCCUGUCGACUGCG